GUAGGUGGCAAGCGUUGUCCGGAUUUAUUGGGUUUAAAGGGUGCGUAUUGCGGUUCCAUAAGUCAGUGGUGAAAUACGGCAGCUCAACUGUCGAGGUGCCAUUGAUACUGCGGAACUUGAGUACUGAUGAGGUAGGCGGAAUUGACGGUGUAGCGGUGAAAUGCUUAGAUAUCGUCAAGAACACCGAUAGCGAAGGGCAGCUUACCAAGCAGUAACUGACGCUGAGGCACGAAAGUGCGGGGAUCAAACAGGAAUAAGAUACCCCUGGUAGUCCGCACAGUAAAACGAUGAUUACUCGAUGUUGGCGAUACACAGCCCGCCGUCUUAGCCAAAACCAAUAAGUAAAUUCCCCCUGGGGAGUACGCCCGCCAGGGGUGG
rnacentral:rRNA from 1 species